rnacentral:rRNA from 1 species
UACGAAGGGGGCUAGCGUUGCUCGGAAUCACUGGGCGUAAAGGGUGCGUAGGCGGGUCUUUAAGUCAGGGGUGAAAUCCUGGAGCUCAACUCCAGAACUGCCUUUGAUACUGGGAGUCUUGAGUUCGGGAGAGGUGAGUGGAACUGCGAGUGUAGAGGUGAAAUGCGUAGAGAUCCGGAGGAACACCAGUGGCGAAGGCGACACGCUGGGCCGUACCUGACGCUAAAGCGCGACAGCAUGGGGAGCAAACGGG